AUCGCUUCUCGGCCUUUUGGCUAAGAUCAAGUGAAGUACGGUACGGUGGGCAAAAAAAUCUUUCUGCAUAGGUGGAUUCCUGGAUUUUUAAAGUUAAGGCACAAAUAUCACACAUACACAGUCUUUUAUUCAGAGGCUAGUAGAAUGUAUUAAAU
rnacentral:snRNA from 1 species